rnacentral:rRNA from 2 species
UGCAGUCGAGCGAAUCGACGGGAGCUUGCUCCCUGAGAUUAGCGGCGGACGGGUGAGUAACACGUGGGCAACCUGCCUAUAAGACUGGGAUAACUUCGGGAAACCGGAGCUAAUACCGGAUACGUUCUUUUCUCGCAUGAGAGAAGAUGGAAAGACGGUUUACGCUGUCACUUAUAGAUGGGCCCGCGGCGCAUUAGCUAGUUGGUGAGGUAAUGGCUCACCAAGGCGACGAUGCGUAGCCGACCUGAGAGGGUGAUCGGCCACACUGGGACUGAGACACGGCCCAGACUCCUACGGGAGGCAGCAGUAGGGAAUCUUCCGCAAUGGACGAAAGUCUGACGGAGCAACGCCGCGUGAACGAAGAAGGCCUUCGGGUCGUAAAGUUCUGUUGUUAGGGAAGAACAAGUACCAGAGUAACUGCUGGUACCUUGACGGUACCUAACCAGAAAGCCACGGCUAACUACGUGCCAGCAGCCGCGGUAAUACGUAGGUGGCAAGCGUUGUCCGGAAUUAUUGGGCGUAAAGCGCGCGCAGGUGGUUCCUUAAGUCUGAUGUGAAAGCCCACGGCUCAACCGUGGAGGGUCAUUGGAAACUGGGGAACUUGAGUGCAGAAGAGGAAAGUGGAAUUCCAAGUGUAGCGGUGAAAUGCGUAGAGAUUUGGAGGAACACCAGUGGCGAAGGCGACUUUCUGGUCUGUAACUGACACUGAGGCGCGAAAGCGU